rnacentral:rRNA from 1 species
UACGAAGGGGGCAAGCGUUGUUCGGAAUUACUGGGCGUAAAGGGCGCGCAGGCGGCUGAUCAAGUCAGAUGUGAAAGCCCCGGGCUCAACCUGGGAAUUGCAUUGGAUACUGGCAGGCUAGAGUGCGGUAGAGGGUAGUGGAAUUCCCGGUGUAGCAGUGAAAUGCGUAGAGAUCGGGAGGAACAUCCGUGGCGAAGGCGACUACCUGGACCAGCACUGACACUGAGGCACGAAAGCGUGGGGAGCAAACAGG